CAAAUAGAAUAAAACCUUGAUCUAAAAAGGGGAAACGAACUUUCCUCUAGUCUUUGCUAAUCCCAAAGGCGAAACCUUCAAAUUGCGGGAAGCACCUAAAACUAUUUCAACCAAACCAUCAUGGUAACAUAGAUGGUGGCACAGGUAAUGACUCGUGGUAUGGUAAAAUCGAAAUAGAAAACAGUUAACGAGCUAGCGCCAUAAAUAAUUGUUUAAGGUUAAUCUGCAGCCAAGCACCUUUUACAACAUAAAUAAACUUAAGGUGUGCAGUUCAUCGACUAAACGUAGGUUGGUAAAUAAUAUCCAGCAAGGGCCGGUUAAUUAAAAGGAGAUUUUUUUCGUAAUAAUCUAUUUUUAACUAGGUUUUUAUUUAAAUGUAAUCUUAAGAUAUAUUAUUAAAUAAACUCUGAAUUAAUAUUUCUCCGAAAUCACGCGGGCUGGUGGACAAAGUUAGGUUCAGCAGCUGAAGUGGAAUAUUAUUUGCUUAAGAUAUAGUCAACCGCUUAAUAUGCUUAUUUAU
rnacentral:ncRNA from 1 species